rnacentral:lncRNA from 1 species
AGAAUCAUGAGGGCUGCAGAGGAUGCUGCUGGGACAAGACCUCCUCUGGGGGGGUCCUGUAUCCCAUGCCCAUUACUGGCCUGCUGGGGCCAGCCUGUCUUCUGACAGCUGUGUCUCCCACCAGCACAGUUAAUUUGCUGCCGUUCCUGGGAUGUGACAGCAACUUGAAGCAAAGCAAUUAGGGUGAAAAAGAGGCCCAGCUCCUUGAGGCCAAAGGAAAAUAAACAGAGCAGCCCUGUGUGUAUUCCGCCGCCAAGAGGAGCCAUUCUUCAAGGGAUGAUUAGCAUUUCUAAUCCCAGCUUCCUCCCUUCCCUUGAAAGAAAAGUGACCGGUGAGCGGCUGCUCUUCUCAGAUCCCACUCUUCCCAAGGUGGACUGCAAACUUGACAGCUCGUCACCUCCACAGAAAAGUCUUCCCUGGCCACCUGCCACAGCCCUGCCAGAAAUGAUACUCCUGUCCUCUGAAAUCUGAGAGCCUUUCUCUGUACCUUUCCUAUGGAGUUUCCUUGAUUGACUGAUCAAUUCAUUAAUGCAUUCUUUCAACAAACAUCCGUUGAGUGUCAUUCAUUCAUUCAACAAAUAUUUCUUAAGUCCCUACUAAAUAAAUCAUCUCUUAAGCUGC